ensembl:lncRNA
GCUGAUGUCUGGAACGCCAUCUGAUUGGUGGCGCUUGUUACCAUGGUCCUGCGUAAAACAGAAGCUGUGAUUUAUUUACAGAGGCAAUUGCUUGCCUUUCCCACAUUUUCCUGCUAUCCUAAACAGCUUCAGACUGUUGCUGGCGACGGUAACGUUACUUUAUGGCUUUCUUCGGGAUAACGAAUUUGGGCUAUCAAAACCCCAUCGGAGACAAUAUGUUAUUGAGUCCGAGAUCGUCUGCUUUUCCUGGUGAUGAGGUGGAUUCAAGGAGCUGGGCUAAACAGUCAGGACUGCCCUCCAUCCAAGUCCAGAGGGGACCCCCAAAAUGCACUGAUACCCCCUUCAGCCCAGACCUACACCAAGGUAGCCAGGGGCGAUACAGAGAGAUGCUCAAACGGGUUCAGAUACCAAGAUCCCCGAAUCAGCUGUACUCAGUGCCCCUGACAGACAGCCAGCAGUGUGGAUGGUGGAUGUCUAAUGGAGGCCAAGGAAAGAUGCAUGAACCCUGGACCCAAGUCAGACGAUUCGCCCGCAAGAACAGUGAGAUGACCAAGUUUGUGAAAGAGAUGUCAAUGACGGACCGAGAGUUCAGCUUAUUCUGAUUUCCACUCCUGCAGUAACAUACACACACACACAAAAUCCCAUCCAAAGACCUCUUAGACCUUUACACUGUAAGGACUAUUGUGGUUUAAUAAACUGGGACAUUUUCAUCAUAGCAUGUUAUUUAUUUUUGUGAGCUACUGUAUCAGGUUGUCAAUUGACCUCUGCCUUUCCACUGGUAAAAUUGAGCUGUUACCUCUCUCUAGAGGAAUACAAUUGUAAUGCCCAUGAGGAAAUAAGAGUAUAAGAGUAUUGUUUCAGUAAUUAGUUAUUGUUACUCAGUAAGGUCAUUCAUUCGACCUUGGGGAUAGUAACUGACUAUCUUCAAUCAGUUACGAUAUUAUGACUGAAAAGUGUCUAGCCAAAUAUUUGAUACGGCAUGUUUGUAUAUUUAGUAAAGCUUGUAUUUUGCAUACUUUCAGUACAUUAACUGAAUCAAUAAAAUGAUAACACGAGGAAAACAUUUACUUAUCUUUAACGUUUUUCUAAAUAAGCUAACAUUACAGUAUCAUUAAUAAUAUAUGAGGUCAAAGGAAUAUCCAGAUAUCACUUGCUUUCUGUCAGUACACUUUUGGCAGCAUAACCAGUUAUCCAUCACAUUUACCCCAUCCCCACCCUAACUCCUCCCUCAUCUUGUAGGCUCCUUCCCUGUGCUCGUGUACUGUAUGCAGUUUUCUUUAACUUGCUUGUCCCUUCCCAAUAUGCGUGUGUAAACUCCUGGAGUUUCUAUGUAAAUGUAAUGAUCUGUGAGAGAGGCACUCUACCUGAGAAACAAUGCUGUUUCUGAUUACAGGGUCAUUGAGUGAGUCAGUCAGCACUGAGCACACACACCAGUCUCAAUGGCGGGCUUGAACAAUUCAGAGGAUGUGGCUGUAACUACCUGGCGUCUGUCUGUACAUUGAGCACUGUAACUCCUUCAUGAUAGUGCAGGGAGAGACAAAGAUAUGAAUCCUCUCAUGUAUGAAAUGUAUCGGGUAUCUGGGACUGCUUGCUCUCACCUAAUAAUUUCAUUGGUCAGCAUCUGCUCAAUGACAAUCAGCCAAUGGUAAUCCUAGUUUUUACAACAGGUAAAGAAAGCCGCACACAUUAACAGCAAUCAACACAACAUAAAACAGCCAUUGUUUUUAUUUUUAAAAAAUCUUCAAGGGGAAAUGUUAUUUUGUCUGUCAUAGUCCUAAACUCUUUUUGUCCUUCACUUCAGGAAAAACGGUGCCUUCUGAACUCCUUCAACACGGGUAGAAAACAAAAAGAAGGGGGCCGGAUUCAUCAGGCUUGAGCAAAACACACUUUCAGUAGUUCUGGGACGACCCUCCUCCCCUCAUCUGUGCACUAAAAACAUCCCAAGAGUCAACAAUUAACAGCCACCCAACCCAAAGACAAGACAGCCCAUAGAAAUAGAAUAGAACGUGCAUCAUCUUACUAACCACGUCCAUUCUAUGUAUUCUAUUUCUAUGUUAAUCACUCUCGAUUGGGCACAACCUCAGUCAUUUAUUGACCCCAAGACCUUUACUUUUCCACGGCGGUCCCACACGCUCAAGGCCAAACAUCACUACACGGGAAGGGGCCAAUAACAUGAGGCUAUUAGCUUGCUUUGGGACGAACAUUAUCACCUUUUAGUGUCCAUAGUCAAGUGUGUUAUGAUGUUAUGGGAAAGUCAAAAUUAUCAAAAUAAAGUCAGUGUUGAGUCAAUGCUAAGGUCAGUAAAUUAUUUCCAUUAGCUUUCACAGGCUGUCUAUCCUUCCCUCGAUUUCUCUGCCUCUGUGAAACUCAGUUCCUCUUCCCACUGUAUUCUCCAGUGGCUUGUUCAAUUAAGACAGUUCUAAUACUGCUCACACUGCUGAUUGUGUUCUGUCUCUCUGAGGAGGGCCCUGAAAUCUGAUAGGGAUGGGAUCAGUGCAUAACCUGACUGAGCUUAGUCCUGCAGUAGUGUUUGCUCAAUGAAAAGGUACAGUGUACAAUCUGUAUAUCUGUGGAAAAGCGACAUCUAAUGAGUAUGUGUGAUCAAAUCUAGGGCCAGUGUUUGAAAUACUGUAGUUGGCUGCAGUUGAUCAGUUGGUACCAUUGAGCUUGAGCUUUUACGUCUGGCAUUUUACAAGAAAGCGUUCUGCCCUUUGAUCCUUAUCGUUGGAAUGGAAUCAUCAUAAUAAGCGUAAUAAUUCAUCAUAAUAACAACAACCAUAAGGUUAAUACAAAUUAUGAAUACAGAGGUGAUAAAAAAAUACUCAACGUUAAAACAAACAGAAUCGAAAACAGGAUACCACAAUCAGACAUGCUUUAAAGCAGUUAAGUUAGGCAAAAAAGCAGUUUAAAGUAUAAAAACCUCACAGUGAAAAUAGUUAUGCCCCUUCAAGAUUACAAAGCACAGUAUUCAGCCUAAUAUAUAUAUAUAUAUUAUAUAUAUAUAUAUAUUUCCUUCUUUCUUUAGAAAAUACUUGUUAGCGAUUCAAACUUAGGCGGCUGUCCGGUACCACUGUAUUUAAUGCCCAGGCUUUCCCCUCUGGUUCUGGAACAUCUUAGGCGGCUGUCUGGUACCACUGUAUUUAAUGCCCAGGCUUUCUCCUCUGGUUCUGGAACAUCGUAGGUGGCUGUCCGGUACCACUGUAUUUAAUGCCCAGGCUUUCCCCUUGGUUCUGGAACAUCUUAGGCGGCUGUCUGGUACCACUGUAUUUAAUGCCCAGGCUUUCCCCUCUGGUUCUGGAACAUCUUAGGCGGCUGUCUGGUACCACUGUAUUUAAAUCCCAGACUUUCCCCUCUGGUUCUGGAACAUCUUAGGCGGCUGUCUGGUCCACUGUAUUUAAUGCCCAGGCUUUCCCCUCUGUACCACUGUAUUUAAUGCCCAGGCUUUCCCCUCUGGUUCUGGAACAUCUUAGGCGGCUGUCUGGUACCACUGUAUUUAAUGCCCGGCUUUCCCCUCUGGUUCUGGAACAGCUUAGGCGGCUGUCCGGUACCACUGUAUUUAAUGCCCCGGUUUCCCCUCUGGUUCUGGAACAUCUUAGGCCGCUGUCCGGUACCACUGUAUUUAAUGCCCAGGCUUUCCCCUCUGGUUCUGGAACAUCUUAGGCGGCUGUCCGGUACCACUGUAUUUAAUGCCCAGGCUUUCCCCUCUGGUUCUGGAACAUCUUAGGUGGCUGUCCGGUACCCAUGUAUUUAAUGCCAGGCUUUCCCCUCUGGUUCUGGAACAUCUUAGGCGGCUGUCCGGUACACUGUAUUUAAUGCCCAGGCUUUCCCCUCUGGUUCUGGAACAGUUAGGCGCCUGUCCGGUACCACUGUAUUUAAUGCCCAGGCCUGGUUCUGGAACAUCUUAGGCGGCUGUCCGUACCACUGUAUUUAAUGCCCAGGCUUUCCCCUCUGGUUCUGGAACAUCUUAGGCGCCU